AACGUAGGUACCGAGCGUUAUCCGGAUUUACUGGGCGUAAAGCGCGUUCAGGCGGUUUGGCAAGUCGGGCAUGAAAUCUCUCGGCUCAACCGGGAGAGGUUGUCCGAUACUGCCGGACUUGAGGGCAGUAGAGGGUGGUGGAAUUCCGGGUGUAGUGGUGAAAUGCGUAGAUAUCCGGAGGAACACCAGUGGCGAAAGCGGCCACCUGGACUGCACCUGACGCUGACACGCGAAAGCUAGGGGAGCGAACGGG
rnacentral:rRNA from 1 species